CUUACACAUGCAAGUCGAGCGGAGAUGAGGUGCUUGCACCUUAUCUUAGCGGCGGACGGGUGAGUAAUGCUUAGGAAUCUGCCUAUUAGUGGGGGACAACAUUCCGAAAGGAAUGCUAAUACCGCAUACGUCCUACGGGAGAAAGCAGGGGAUCUUCGGACCUUGCGCUAAUAGAUGAGCCUAAGUCGGAUUAGCUAGUUGGUGGGGUAAAGGCCUACCAAGGCGACGAUCUGUAGCGGGUCUGAGAGGAUGAUCCGCCACACUGGGACUGAGACACGGCCCAGACUCCUACGGGAGGCAGCAGUGGGGAAUAUUGGACAAUGGGGGGAACCCUGAUCCAGCCAUGCCGCGUGUGUGAAGAAGGCCUUAUGGUUGUAAAGCACUUUAAGCGAGGAGGAGGCUACUGAGACUAAUACUCUUGGAUAGUGGACGUUACUCGCAGAAUAAGCACCGGCUAACUCUGUGCCAGCAGCCGCGGUAAUACAGAGGGUGCGAGCGUUAAUCGGAUUUACUGGGCGUAAAGCGUGCGUAGGCGGCUUUUUAAGUCGGAUGUGAAAUCCCCGAGCUUAACUUGGGAAUUGCAUUCGAUACUGGGAAGCUAGAGUAUGGGAGAGGAUGGUAGAAUUCCAGGUGUAGCGGUGAAAUGCGUAGAGAUCUGGAGGAAUACCGAUGGCGAAGGCAGCCAUCUGGCCUAAUACUGACGCUGAGGUACGAAAGCAUGGGGAGCAAACAGGAUUAGAUACCCUGGUAGUCCAUGCCGUAAACGAUGUCUACUAGCCGUUGGGGCCUUUGAGGCUUUAGUGGCGCAGCUAACGCGAUAAGUAGACCGCCUGGGGAGUACGGUCGCAAGACUAAAACUCAAUGAAUUGACGGGGGCCCGCACAAGCGGUGGAGCAUGUGGUUUAAUUCGAUGCAACGCGAAGAACCUUACCUGGACUUGACAUACUAGA
rnacentral:rRNA from 1 species